UUCUCUUUUAUUCUCGUCUCUGCGUGUAGUGCACUUGUUUCCUCUUUCUUUUGCAGGUCGCUUUUGUAUCUACAAAAAUAAAAAACUAAACCUCAACAACAAAAA